rnacentral:rRNA from 1 species
GAUGAACGCUGGCGGCGUGCCUAAUACAUGCAAGUCGAGCGAACGGACGAGAAGCUUGCUUCUCUGAUGUUAGCGGCGGACGGGUGAGUAACACGUGGAUAACCUACCUAUAAGACUGGGAUAACUUCGGGAAACCGUAGCUAAUACCGGAUAAUAUUUUGAACCGCAUGGUUCAAAAGUGAAAGACGGUCUUGCUGUCACUUCUAGAUGGAUCCGCGCUGCAUUAGCUAGUUGGUAAGGUAACGGCUUACCAAGGCAACGAUGCAUAGCCGACCUGAGAGGGUGAUCGGCCACACUGGAACUUAGACACGGUCAAGACUCCUACGGGAGGCAGCAGUAGGGAAUCUUCCGCAAUGGGCGAAAGCCUGACGGAGCAACGCCGCGUGAGUGAUGAAGGUCUUCGAUUCGUAAAACUCUGUUAUUAGGGAAGAACAUAUGUGUAAGUAACUGUGCACAUCUUGACGGUACCUAAUCAGAAAGCCACGGCUAACUACGUG